GUUUAUUUAAGCUGCUGUGAAAGACUGUCAGACAACUGUGGUAGGACCAAAGACAGGCGCUGUUUCCAAGCCAGAAAAGGCUGCAAGAAAAGGAUGGACUGCUACAGCAGAAGCACCAAAGACAGGCGCUGACCCCAAGCCAGAAAAGAGGCUCAUAUAGAAAAAAGACCAAAAAAAAAAGUUACAUCAACCAUGGUCCAUGCUGGCAAGGACAAGACCCCACAAAAAAAGUACAAUGUGCAAAGCUUCAGAGAUCACCACAACUCCCAAAAAGCCAAGCAGAUGCUGUACUCCAUCAGCAUUACUGGCUUACUUCUGGAGAAAUUGAUUUUGCAUCUUACUUGCUUGCAAAAGAGUACCCAGACAACGAUAGACUUCAGUCAACACUCUUAUUCAGUGCCUUACACAAUGGAAGGAUUGUGGGUACUUCAAGCAACCCAUUUGUACAAAUUGUACAUACUGGAGGCAAUCACUGGCUGACUGUAAGCAACAUAU